rnacentral:rRNA from 1 species
CAGCCGCCACGGGAAUACGUAGGGUGCAAGCGUUAAUCGGAAUUACUGGGCGUAAAGCGUGCGUAGGCGGUGAGUUAAGUCUGCUGUGAAAUCCCCGGGCUCAACCUGGGAAUGGCAGUGGAUACUGGCUCGCUAGAGUGUGUCAGAGGAUGGUGGAAUUCCCGGUGUAGCAGUGAAAUGCGUAGAUAUGCGGAGGAACACCGAUGGCGAAGGCAAUCCCCUGGACCUGUACUGACGCUCAUGCACGAAAGCGUGGGGAGCAAACAGGAUUAGAGACCCGUGUAGUCCCUGUCUCUUAUAC